rnacentral:misc_RNA from 1 species
AGUUAUACGUAUAUAAAUGUAAUAUUGCGACGGACCCGCCCUCAUGGAACAAUUUUUUGUGGUCUACUCUUAAAAGAACCUCUUGCAUACUAUUUAUUUAUUUCGUCACGAUUUUGUCGAUCAAAUCAAGUUGUGAUUCCGUUCAACCGUUGGUCAUUCCGCAUUUCUUACUUGAUUACCUUGGCCGUGAGUUCAUGACGAAAGAGUUCUAUAAUUAUACAGGCGCAUUUGCACAUUGGUGCCUACCAGCAAAUGUAAGCCUUCUUGAAAAACUUUUAUAAAAAUUGCAAUACCCAAGAUUACGAAUACUUUUAAAGUGUAGAGAUGGCGAAAGAAGGGGCUGCGGUGGUGGAAGCCCAGGAAUCGUUACUAUAUUCGGCAAGACAUGGCGAGCUGGCCGUGGUAAAAGCUCUUCUGGAAGCCAAGGCAGAGGGAAAAUUGACGUUGAACGUGAGCUGUAAAGGUAAAAGCAAAAGUAAUUUAGGAUGGACCCCACUCCACUUGGCGACAUAUUUUGGACAUGUGGAUGUGGCAGCGGCCCUAUUAGAGGCAGGAGCGAAUGUGGAUGAGGUUAAUGACACAGGAGACACCGCGCUGCACAAGGCGUCUUUUAUUGGAAAUGAGGAUUUAGUAAUACUCCUGCUGAAAUACAAAGCAGAUGUGAACAUAAUGAACGGCGAAGGUAGGACGCCGUGCGACGUGUCCAAGAAUCGGGACGUGCAACGGCUGUUGGAGGCGGCGCAGCGUGCUGAGAGGCAUGAGAGAGAGAGCAAACUCCUCACAGCAGCCAAGGAGGGGAGGGUUGAAGAUAUACACGAGUUGCUCAGCAGCCAAAAUCCUCCAAAUAUAAACUGCGUGGACGCGCAGGGCAACACGUGUCUGCAUUGCGCCGCGUAUCGAGGCCACGCCAGGCUCGCCGUGCUGUUGCUUCAGAACGGGAUAGACACCACACUCAGGAACCAUAGCGGUCAGCUAGCAAUAGAGUUGGCGAAAGACAACGAGAUGCGUGAAGUGUUGAGCGUCCGUCCAGUGCAGCGGCUGCAGCGCACCGCCGCCAGGUUCGAGGGGCCGCUACUGAAGCGCUCGCGAUUCCUCGGAUGGAGACCUGUUUGGGCGGUGGUGCAGCGCGGCGUGCUGUCGUACCACGCGUCGCGCGCGGAGGCGGCGCGCGGCGGGCGCGUGCGCGCGCGCAAGUACCUGGACGGCGCCACGCUGCGCGCCAGCGACGCCGAGCCCGCGCUGCUGCUGCUGCACUUCAGCGACGGCGACGCGCACCGCCUCGCCGUGCCGCCCGACCAGCACGUGCGCGCCUGCAGGCAGUCGUGGAUCACAGCACUGAACGAGCACAUAGCAUACUCCGGCCACUACUUAUGGGCGGGCGCCUCGCCUGACACAGCCAAAGAGGCUACGGAGGACUUGGAAGACGAUUGCAAACCAUUAGGGUCCAUGCAGGACGCGCUGACGGCGGCCACGAACAGCCUGGCGCUGCUGGAGACGCAGCUGCGCGAGUGCUCCGCCAUCGUGGCCGCGCUCGACAAGAGCGUCAACGUCGGCAACUCGCUGCACCACUCCGCAUACAUGAGGUUCCAGCACGCGUGUGGCACCGGUUCGGAGGCUCUGUCGGCGCUGCGGCACUGCGCCGCGCUCGUGCACCAGGCGAGGGACGCGGACGUCGCCAGGCUAAACAGAGAGUUGGAGCGCAACAGGGUGUUAGAAGAAGCUCUGGCUGCAUUGGCGAGAACUCACCACGCACUCGAGAUGUCUGUAGCAGAGGAACUAAACAAGGGGAAAAGAAAGAAAAAAUCAUCAUCGACUCUCAACGAAUCAAAGGAGAAUUUCUUCGAUGUUUUUGACGGUCCGCCAUGUUAGCCAAUCGUCGUAGUAACAAUACGCCUUGUGUCAGAUUCUGACGAGGACGACACGUUGGUGACGGCGGGCCUGUCCAGCCCACUCGGAGCGCUCAGUCCGUGGGGGAGCAGCCCCGACCUCACCCGGCGGACUCCUAUAGGCAGCGUGGACGGUGACAAAACACCGACAAACGAAGAAGACCGCCAGCUCUGCCGACAAAUAUCGGG